rnacentral:rRNA from 1 species
UACGUAGGGGGCAAGCGUUGUCCGGAAUCAUUGGGCGUAAAGCGCGCGUAGGCGGCCCGGUAAGUCCGUUGUGAAAGUCAAAGGCUCAACCUUUGAACGCCGAUGGAUACUGCCGGGCUAGAGUCCGGAAGAGGCGAGUGGAAUUCCUGGUGUAGCGGUGGAAUGCGCAGAUAUCAGGAGGAACACCAACGGCGAAGGCAGCCCGCUGGGACGGUACUGACGCUGAGACGCGAAAGCGUGGGGAGCGAACAGG